CCAAUUACUGACUACAAUUGGGGUUGGGAACGACACAAAGAAGAUUAGCAUGGCCCCUGCGCAAGCAAGGAUACACGCACAAAUUGAAAAAUGAUCCAAAUUCUU